rnacentral:rRNA from 1 species
UACGGGGGGGGCAAGCGUUGUUCGGAAUUACUGGGCGUAAAGGGCGCGUAGGCGGUUGGAUAAGUCAGCUGUGAAAACCACGGGCUUAACUCGUGGCCUGCAGUUGAGACUGUCUGGCUUGAGUGUGGGAGAGGAGAGUGGAAUUCCUGGUGUAGCGGUGAAAUGCGUAGAUAUCAGGAGGAACACCGGCGGCGAAGGCGGCUCUCUGGACCACAACUGACGCUGAGGCGCGAAAGCUAGGGGAGCAAACAGG